rnacentral:rRNA from 1 species
CAGUCGUACGCUUCUUUUUCCCCGGAGCUUGCUCCACCGGAAAAAGAAGAGUGGCGAACGGGUGAGUAACACGUGGGUAACCUGCCCAUCAGAAGGGGAUAACACUUGGAAACAGGUGCUAAUACCGUAUAACAAUCGAAACCGCAUGGUUUUGAUUUGAAAGGCGCUUUCGGGUGUCGCUGAUGGAUGGACCCGCGGUGCAUUAGCUAGUUGGUGAGGUAACGGCUCACCAAGGCCACGAUGCAUAGCCGACCUGAGAGGGUGAUCGGCCACAUUGGGACUGAGACACGGCCCAAACUCCUACGGGAGGCAGCAGUAGGGAAUCUUCGGCAAUGGACGAAAGUCUGACCGAGCAACGCCGCGUGAGUGAAGAAGGUUUUCGGAUCGUAAAACUCUGUUGUUAGAGAAGAACAAGGAUGAGAGUAACUGUUCAUCCCUUGACGGUAUCUAACCAGAAAGCCACGGCUAACUACGUGCCAGCAGCCGCGGUAAUACGUAGGUGGCAAGCGUUGUCCGGAUUUAUUGGGCGUAAAGCGAGCGCAGGCGGUUUCUUAAGUCUGAUGUGAAAGCCCCCGGCUCAACCGGGGAGGGUCAUUGGAAACUGGGAGACUUGAGUGCAGAAGAGGAGAGUGGAAUUCCAUGUGUAGCGGUGAAAUGCGUAGAUAUAUGGAGGAACACCAGUGGCGAAGGCGGCUCUCUGGUCUGUAACUGACGCUGAGGCUCGAAAGCGUGGGGAGCAAACAGGAUUAGAUACCCUGGUAGUCCACGCCGUAAACGAUGAGUGCUAAGUGUUGGAGGGUUUCCGCCCUUCAGUGCUGCAGCUAACGCAUUAAGCACUCCGCCUGGGGAGUACGACCGCAAGGUUGAAACUCAAAGGAAUUGACGGGGGCCCGCACAAGCGGUGGAGCAUGUGGUUUAAUUCGAAGCAACGCGAAGAACCUUACCAGGUCUUGACAUCCUUUGACCACUCUAGAGAUAGAGCUUCCCCUUCGGGGGCAAAGUGACAGGUGGUGCAUGGUUGUCGUCAGCUCGUGUCGUGAGAUGUUGGGUUAAGUCCCGCAACGAGCGCAACCCUUAUUGUUAGUUGCCAUCAUUUAGUUGGGCACUCUAGCAAGACUGCCGGUGACAAACCGGAGGAAGGUGGGGAUGACGUCAAAUCAUCAUGCCCCUUAUGACCUGGGCUACACACGUGCUACAAUGGGAAGUACAACGAGUCGCGAAGUCGCGAGGCUAAGCUAAUCUCUUAAAGCUUCUCUCAGUUCGGAUUGUAGGCUGCAACUCGCCUACAUGAAGCCGGAAUCGCUAGUAAUCGCGGAUCAGCACGCCGCGGUGAAUACGUUCCCGGGCCUUGUACACACCGCCCGUCACACCACGAGAGUUUGUAACACCCGAAGUCG